GACGAACGCUGGCGGCAUGCUUAACACAUGCAAGUCGAACGGCAAGGCCCUGCUUUUUUGCUGUUCUCGGUUGGCGAACGGGUGCGUAACACGUAAGUAACCUGCCCUUCACUUUGGUAUAACUUCAGGAAACUGGAGCUACUACCGUAUCGCAUCUCCUGCUGCAUGGUGAGGGUUGGAACUUUUAGGCGUUUGCGGAUGGACUCGCGGCUUAUGAGCUUGUUAGUGGGGUAGUGGCUUACCAAGGCUUUGACGGGUAGCCGGCCUGAGAGGGUGACCGGGGACAUGGGGACUGAGAGACGGAGCAGACUCGUACGGGAGGCAGCAGUGGGGAACAUUGCACAAUGGGCGGAAGUCUGAUGCAGCAACGCCGCGUGCGGGAUGACGGCCUUUGGGUUGUAAACAGCUUUCGCCUGUUACGAAGCGUGAGUGACGGUAAUGGGUAAAGAAGCACCGGCUAACUACGUG
rnacentral:rRNA from 1 species